rnacentral:misc_RNA from 1 species
AAAAUGCGAUAAGUAAUGCGAAUUGCAGAAUUUUAGUGAGUCAUCGAAUCUUUGAACGCACAUUGCGCCCUUUGGUAUUCCGAAGGGCAUGCCUGUUCGAGCGUCAUUAUCACCCCUCAAGCCUGGGCUUGUCCUUGAACUCCGGUCCGUCAGACGACCGGUUCGAAAGAUAGUGACGGUUGUCUAUGUGACCCUCGGCGCAACGAGCUCUCACCAGCACGCGCCGUCCAGCGGUUACAUAGCCCGGUCUUGAAUCCUUCUUGAAUCCCUUGUUUGACAAGGUUGAUUUGACAAGGUUGGACAGGUUGACCUCGGAUCAGGUAGGAAUACCCGCUGAACUUAA